UACGAAGGGUGCAAGCGUUACUCGGAAUUACUGGGCGUAAAGCGUGCGUAGGUGGUGAGUUAAGUCUGUCGUGAAAGCCCCGGGCUCAACCUGGGAAUGGCGAUGGAUACUGGCUCGCUAGAGUGCGGUAGAGGAGAGUGGAAUUCCCGGUGUAGCAGUGAAAUGCGUAGAGAUCGGGAGGAACAUCAGUUGCGAAGGCGGCUCUCUGGACCAGCACUGACACUGAGGCACGAAAGCGUGGGGAGCAAACAGGAUUAGAUACCCUGGUAGUCCACGCCCUAAACGAUGCGAACUGGACGUUGGGAGCAAUCAGGCUCUCAGUGUCGAAGCUAACGCGUUAAGUUCGCCGCCUGGGGAGUACGGUCGCAAGACUGAA
rnacentral:rRNA from 1 species